CUGACAAUUUAAACAACCUAUUAAUGGGUUGGCCCAUGGACACAUAUGCCCACAUAGGUGGCAGUGUUGGGCCAAGGGCAAGGUUCUGAACUAACCACUGUCAUUUAAACUCUCAGGUGUGCUUCACAGAUGACCUCACCCUUAUAAAACCCAAAACUACUUUAGGCCCCAGAUACAGAAGGAAAGAUCAUGUUUUAUAGUUAAUACAACAACAAAAAGAAAUUAGCAACAAAACAACUGUCGAUAUACACACGCUGGAGCUUCAUACCCAGCGCACAUCAUCAUGUUUCCAUCGAUGACAUGAACGCCUCUAUAAGCUGCCACGCAUCUGGUCGUAUUGACAAUGGGGACGUCAACUUCUUGCAGAGUUUGUGAAGAAUCAAACCCUGUGUUCUCUGUGGUUGAUUCGGAAUACAGAACAGAGCAUUCAAGGGAAUUCCCCUAAACAGCGACCAACCGUUUCAAUCUCUCUUCGUUGCCUCCUAGUGGUAUCGAGAUGUGUAAGAUGAGAACUCCUGGUGGUCCCGAGGUAAACAAGAAGACCGGAGUAAGAUACAGAUCUGUAAGAGGGCCAGGCAGCCACCACUGAAGCCGUUCCACGGAAAACUCUUCUUUCAGUUUCUGUUGGGGCAACUGGUACCACCAUGCUUCUUAU